GAUGAAGAACGUAGCGAAAUGCGAAAAGUAAUGUGAAUUGCAGAAUUCAGUGAAUCAUCGAAUCUUUGAACGCACAUUGCGCCCGCUGGUACUCCGGCGGGCAUGCCUGUCCGAGCGUCAUUUCAACCCUCAAGCCCUCCUUCGGGAUGGGCCUGGUGUUGGGGCUCGGCCGCCAUCUCCGGCGGCCGUCCCCUAAAUACAGUGGCGGUCACGUCGCGACUCCUUUGCGUAGUAGAAACCCCUCGCUCCGGAUAGCAACGCGGUCCACGCCGUAAAACCCCCAAUUUUCAAUGGUUGACCUCGGAUCAGGUGGGAAUACCCGCUGAACUUAAGCAUAUCAAUAAGCGGAGGA
rnacentral:misc_RNA from 1 species